rnacentral:rRNA from 1 species
AGUGAACGCUGGCGGUAGGCCUAACACAUGCAAGUCGAACGGCAGCACAGUAAGAGCUUGCUCUUACGGGUGGCGAGUGGCGGACGGGUGAGGAAUACAUCGGAAUCUACUUUUUCGUGGGGGAUAACGUAGGGAAACUUACGCUAAUACCGCAUACGACCUACGGGUGAAAGCAGGGGAUCUUCGGACCUUGCGCGAUUGAAUGAGCCGAUGUCGGAUUAGCUAGUUGGCGGGGUAAAGGCCCACCAAGGCGACGAUCCGUAGCUGAUCUGAGAGGAUGAUCAGCCACACUGGAACUGAGACACGGUCCAGACUCCUACGGGAGGCAGCAGUGGGGGAUAUUGGACAAUGGGCGCAAGCCUGAUCCAGCCAUACCGCGUGGGUGAAGAAGGCCUUCGGGUUGUAAAGCCCUUUUGUUGGGAAAGAAAAGCAGCAGGUUAAUACCCCGCUGUUCUGACGGUACCCAAAGAAUAAGCACCGGCUAACUUCGUG